rnacentral:lncRNA from 1 species
GGCGGUGCUUCCAGUGACUUGAAGUCUGAAGUCAAGAAUAGCAAGCAUGUCUGGCUAUGUACUGUUCUCGCGUGGGGCGACUGCGGCGGCAGCUGCGGCGCGAGCUUCCCGCGUGCUGAGGGUCUUCACGGAGAGGCGCCGCACAUUGCACACCAGUCUGCAGAGCUGCUCGUUCGCCAAGGAGCUCUUCCUGGGUCACAUCCAGCAGGUAAGCGGCAAGUCGGGGCUGCCGGUGUUCUCUGCUCCCACCUUUCCUUGGUACCUGACCGGAGUUGGAUGGAACGUUAUCUGAGUCUUUAAAAGGCAAACAGCUCGGAAUGUAGCUUAAGUAGUGUCACAGUAGUUUUUGUUUUGAGACAGGAUCUCAUUAAGUA